rnacentral:rRNA from 1 species
GACGAACGCUGGCGGCGUGCUUAACACAUGCAAGUCGAACGGAAAGACGCUGCGUUUGUUCGGUUCUCGAUUGGCGAGCGGGGGAGUAACACGCGAGUAACCUCCCCUUGACUUUGUGAUAUCUUCAGGGGACUGGGGCGAAUAUCGCAGAUGAUCUCCUGCUGCAUGUGGUGGGAUGGAAAGUGUCGGCUGUGGUGGCUGGACUCGCGGCUUACGAGCUGGUUGGUGGGGUAGUGGCUGACCAGGGGUUUGACGGGUAGCCCGCAUGAGAGGGUGACCGGCCACAUUGGGACUGCGAUACGGACCAGAAUGCUAUGGGAGGCAGUAGUCGGGAACAUUGCACAAUGGGCGGACGCGUGAUGCAGAAACGCCGCGUGCGGGAUGACGGCUUUCGAGUUGUAAACAGCUUUCGACUGUGCCGAAGAGUGAGUGACGGUAAUGGGUAAAGAAGCAACGGCUAACUACGUG